rnacentral:tRNA from 1 species
GCUGUAAUGGCAGAGGUGUGUAUGCACUAGAUUUAGGUUCUAGAAACAUAGGGGUUUAUCCUAUUUACAGUA